rnacentral:misc_RNA from 1 species
GUCUCUUAUUCUGUAUCAGAUAACUCUGUCAAACACAACACGCGUCAGAGGUUGAGGGUCCACACGGAACCCCACACCUGAUAAACUUGUAAUGAUCCUUCCGCAGGUUCACCUACGGAAA